rnacentral:lncRNA from 1 species
UUUUCCCACUUUUAUGUUAUUUUGUUUAUUUUAUUUUUUCCAUUUUAUUUUCUCUUUUGAUUUAGUUUUUAACCCUCUUAUUUUUAAUAUUUUGACAAAAUGUUGAACAUCAACCCCCUUUAUUUUUGCCUCUAAAAUUUAAUGGUGCCCUUAUUUAUUUCAUUUGAACAAUUUUUUUGGACUUAUGAUGUCUUGAAGUGAAGGGCUAAUGAAAACCAUUUAAGUCAUGAUAUGUUUGAUUUAGGGUUGGUAAAAACC